rnacentral:rRNA from 1 species
AUUGAACGCUGGCGGCAUGCCUUACACAUGCAAGUCGAACGGUAACAGGUCUUCGGAUGCUGACGAGUGGCGAACGGGUGAGUAAUACAUCGGAACGUGCCCGAUCGUGGGGGAUAACGCAGCGAAAGCUGUGCUAAUACCGCAUACGAUCUACGGAUGAAAGCGGGGGAUCUUCGGACCUCGCGCGGACGGAGCGGCCGAUGGCAGAUUAGGUAGUUGGUGAGGUAAAGGCUCACCAAGCCGACGAUCUGUAGCUGGUCUGAGAGGACGACCAGCCACACUGGGACUGAGACACGGCCCAGACUCCUACGGGAGGCAGCAGUGGGGAAUUUUGGACAAUGGGCGCAAGCCUGAUCCAGCCAUGCCGCGUGCAGGAUGAAGGCCUUCGGGUUGUAAACUGCUUUUGUACGGAACGAAAAGGUUCUUUCUAAUAAAGAGAGCUCAUGACGGUACCGUAAGAAUAAGCACCGGCUAACUACGUGCCAGCCGCCGCAGUAACAC